rnacentral:tRNA from 1 species
GCCGCAAUCGUAUAGUGGUCAUUACGCUUCAUUGUGACUGAAGUAACCCAGGUUCAAAUCCUGGUUGUGGCA